CCCUUAGAUGUUCUGGGCGGCCCGCGCACUACAUUGGCACUCUCAAUAAGUUCCUAGAUCUAAAACUUUGGGGUAUUCUAUUAAGUGGUGUCGUGACUGGGAUUAACCCUUGCAAUUAUUGGUUACGAACGAGGAAUUCCUUGUAAUCGCGGUUUAUCAGCCCGCGUUGAAUGCGUCCCUGCCCUUUGUACACACCGCCCGUCGCUCCUACCGAUGAAUCGUCCGGUGAAGUUCAUGGAGUGGUGGUUGUUCCAGCUGCUGUCGAAGUGAAAUGGACCUAACGAUUUAGAGGAAGGAGAAGUCGUAACA
rnacentral:rRNA from 1 species